rnacentral:lncRNA from 1 species
AUUUUGCAUCAGUGAAUAAAGGCCUGGACAGAGAUCGAGUCAGAAGUUGUGCCGGUUCUUAUGGUGCAGUGCCAAGUCCAUUUCCUGUGGAUUAAGUCCUAAAUCCUCCUAGUUUAAAAACAAAAAUCUGUUCUCUUGGCACUGGAGGGCUGAAGGUUCUUGAGAUUCUGGUCCAGUCUCUGCACACUCCUGGUUCGAAUCAGUAGGAGCUUGCUGGUUUGAUUUUACAGAGGUAUAAAAUGUGGGUAACAGGAAAAGUUGUGACUGUGGUCCGUUUCUGUCCUCAUGUACUUAGUGCUUCUUCUGAAGCAGAGUCUGUGCUAAAGGCAUUACCUACUGUCUUCUUUCAGGUUAACUGGAGAGGCAGCAAUCUCACUUCACAGAUGGGGAAACUGAGACUUAGCAACUUACCCAAGAUUGGGAAAUGGCCACUGGAGAGGUUACACAUUUCCUUCAAGGUCAAGGACUGGGACCAGAGGAACAGCACCAUAUCCAAGGAUGUAAGGCUCCAAAAAUUGAUUCUGCUCCUUGAAGUAGGAUUCUUGGUGCCCUUUGGAAGCCUAGAGUGCAUUUUCUUUUUAAAUAGAGAUGCUGAGCUUGACCACAGUAGAUUUCUGAUUUGGUGGAGGGGGA